rnacentral:rRNA from 1 species
UUUGACUUAUACCGAUAUUGCUGGCGACCCUGUUUUGUAUGGCAACUUGCCGCCGCGUGAAAUUUCUAUGAAGGAUGUUUUCCGUUCUGGUGAUUCGUCUAAGAAGUUUAAGAUUGCUGAGGGUCAGUGGUAUCGUUAUGCGCCUUCGUAUGUUUCUCCUGCUUAUCACCUUCUUGAAGGCUUCCCAUUCAUUCAGGAACCGCCUUCUGG